CGGAGGCAGCAGCAUCGACCGAGAUGAGAGUACAGCCGACUGUAGCAGCCAGUGCCCACCAACGCGACUUCACUCAAGCCUGGGCAGACAGUGUAACUGCAGCCCAGGAGAUCUGGGUGGCUAAGAUGGAGUGGCCUGCUGGGGGGACUGAGGGACCGACAGAACAGGCCGUAGGUAAGGAGUGUGGUCAGUGGAGCCGCUGGACGUGGGGGAUUGAUGGAAUGAGCGAGUGACUGUUGCCCUGCCGCUGAGAGCUGGCGCACUACUCUUAAUCCCCCUUUUAGUAUAGAUGCUUUUUAACUUUGUGCCAGCACCAUAUUGAUUUUAGAUAGGCCUUUUUAAAUUAUGUUUUGUUUUAAAGUGUAUUAAAAACUGUUCAAUUUGG